GGGGCGAGUCGUCCACAGGUCACCAGAAAAUAAUUAUAUCACCGUCGUCGCAGAAGGCGACGAGAAUGUGGAAAUAAAAAUAAGAAAAAGGGGAAACAACAAGAAAAGUGCGAGAGAUAAUCAGAAGACGGGAGAAUUCUGUGGAUCACCAUUCGGAUGCGCUGAUCCAUAAAAGUGUCGCCGUGAUCCAGACGAUUUCGGAAACCCUCCGCGACCGGGAGGUGGCGGUCGCGAAUCAGGAGAGAGAGGUAACAAAGCGAGAGACCCUUCUUCUACGGGCCGUCAUUGGUGAAGACCUCCAGGAGGAGUCGGCGGCAGAGGAGGCGGAGGAGGAGGUGGGCGCGAGAGUGGACCAGGGGAGGGAAGUCGCCGCGGAGGGGCGAGUCGUCCACAGGUCACCAGAAAAUAAUUAUAUCACCGUCGUCGCAGAAGGCGACGAGAAUGUGGAAAUAAAAAUAAGAAAAAGGGGAAACAACAAGAAAAGUGCGAGAGAUAAUCAGAAGACGGGAGAAUUCUGUGGAUCACCAUUCGGAUGCGCUGAUCCAUAAAAGUGUCGCCGUGAUCCAGACGAUUUCGGAAACCCUCCGCGACCGGGAGGUGGCGGUCGCGAAUCAGGAGAGAGAGGUAACAAAGCGAGAGACCCUUCUUCUACGGGCCGUCAUUGGUGAAGACCUCCA
rnacentral:lncRNA from 1 species